CGAACGUACGCAACCUUCCUUUAACUGGAGGAUAGCCCCUCGAAAGAGGGAUUAAUACUCCGUAACAUCACGAUAUGGCAUCAUAAUGUGAUUAUAGCUCCGGCGGUUAAAGAUGGGCGUGCGCCUGAUUAGAUAGUUGGCGGGGUAACGGCCCACCAAGUCUGCGAUCAGUAACUGGUGUGAGAGCACGACCAGUCACACGGGCACUGAGACACGGGCCCG
rnacentral:rRNA from 1 species